rnacentral:rRNA from 1 species
GACGAACGCUGGCGGCGUGCCUAAUACAUGCAAGUCGAGCGGACUUUCAAGAAGCUUGCUUUUUGAAAGUUAGCGGCGGACGGGUGAGUAACACGUAAAGAACCUGCCCUCAGGUCUGGGAUAACCACGAGAAAUCGGGGCUAAUACCGGACGGGUCAUCGGACCGCAUGGUCCGAGGAUGAAUGGCGCUCCGGCGUCGCCCGUGGAUGGCUUUGCGGUGCAUUAGCUAGUUGGUGGGGUAACGGCCCACCAAGGCGACGAUGCAUAGCCGACCUGAGAGGGUGAUCGGCCACACUGGGACUGAGACACGGCCCAGACUCCUACGGGAGGCAGCAGUAGGGAAUCUUCCACAAUGGACGAAAGUCUGAUGGAGCAACGCCGCGUGAACGAUGAAGGCCCUCGGGUCGUAAAGUUCUGUUGUAAGGGAAGAACAAGUGCCGCAGGCAAUGGCGGCACCUUGACGGUACCUUGCGAGAAAGCCACGGCUAACUACGUGCCAGCCGCCGCGGUAA